rnacentral:misc_RNA from 1 species
AAGUCGUAACAAGGUAACCGUAGGUGAACCUGCGGUUGGAUCAUUAACAAUCCUAGACCCUCGGGUCUUUAACCCCUUGUGCACCUAUUAAUGUAUCUGGGCAUCUUGUAUAAGGUGCCCAACUGUAUCAACCUUACUAUUAGUCUGAAUUUUAUUAUAUAAAUAAAAACAACUUUUGACAACGGAUCUCUUGGCUCUC